rnacentral:rRNA from 1 species
AGCGCAGACGGAACUGCAAGUCUGAUGUGAAAGCCCGGGGCUCAACCGCGGGACUGCAUCGGAUACUGUAGAUCUGGAGUGCCGGAGGGGCAAGCGGAAUUCCUGGUGUAGCGGUGAAAUGCGUAGAUAUCAGGAGGAACACCGGCGGCGAAGGCGGCUUGCUGGACGGCAACUGACGUUGAGGCUCGAAAGCGUGGGGAGCAAACA